UACGUAGGGUGCAAGCGUUGUCCGGAAUUAUUGGGCGUAAAGGGCUCGUAGGCGGUCCAUCGCGUCGGGAGUGAAAAGCUGGGGCUUAACCCCAGUCCUGCUUCCGAUACGGGUGGACUAGAGGUAGGUAGGGGGGAUCGGAAUUCCUGGUGUAGCGGUGAAAUGCGCAGAUAUCAGGAGGAACACCGGUGGCGAAGGCGGAUCUCUGGGCCUUACCUGACGCUGAGGAGCGAAAGCAUGGGGAGCAAACAGG
rnacentral:rRNA from 1 species